UACAGAGGAGCCAAGCGUUGUCCGGAUUUACUGGGCGUAAAGAGCGCGCAGGCGGUCGUUCAAGUCGCGUGUGAAAGCCCCCGGCUCAACUGGGGAGGGUCACGCGAUACUGAUCGACUCGAAGGCAGGAGAGGGAAGUGGAAUUCCCGGUGUAGUGGUGAAAUGCGUAGAGAUCGGAAAGAACACCAACGGCGAAAGCACUCUGCUGGGCCGACACUGACACUGAGAGACGAAAGCUAGGGGAGCGAAUGGG
rnacentral:rRNA from 1 species